UUUUGACCGUGCAAAGGUAGCGCAAUCACUUGUCUCUUAAAUAGAGACCUGUAUGAAUGGCUAGACGAGGGCUUAACUGUCUCCCCCUUCCAGUCAGUGAAAUUGAUCUAUCCGUGCAGAAGCGGGUGUAAUUAUACAAGACGAGAAGACCCUUUGGAGCUUAAGGUACAAAGUUCAACCACGUUAAAUGACUCUACAAAAAGCAAGAACCUAGUGGCCAAUGAAAUUUUACCUUCGGUUGGGGCGACCACGGAGGAAAGAUAAGCCUCCGAGUGGACUGGGCUAAAUCCCCAAAGCCAAGAGAUACAUCUAUAAGCCGCAGAACAUCUGACCAAGAAAUGAUCCGACUGAAAAGCCGAUCAACGAACCAAGUUACCCUAGGGAUAACAGCGCAAUCCUCUCCCAGAGUCCAUAUCGACGAAGGG
rnacentral:rRNA from 1 species